CGGGGUGAGCGGCGGACGGGUGAGUAACGCGUGGGAAUAUGCCCUUCUCUAAGGAAUAGCCUCGGGAAACUGAGAGUAAUACCUUAUACGCCCUACGGGGGAAAGAUUUAUCGGAGAAGGAUUAGCCCGCGUUAGAUUAGGUAGUUGGUGGGGUAAUGGCCUACCAAGCCUACGAUCUAUAGCUGGUUUGAGAGGAUGAUCAGCCACACUGGGACUGAGACACGGCCCAGACUCCUACGGGAGGCAGCAGUAGGGAAUCUUAGACAAUGGGGGAAACCCUGAUCUAGCCAUGCCGCGUGUGUGAUGAAGGCCUUAGGGUCGUAAAGCACUUUCGCCAGAGAUGAUAAUGACAGUAUCUGGUAAAGAAACCCCGGCUAACUCCGUGCCAGCAGCCGCGGUAAUACGGAGGGGGUUAGCGUUGUUCGGAAUUACUGGGCGUAAAGCGCACGUAGGCGGAUUAGUAAGUUAGAGGUGAAAUCCCAGGGCUCAACCCUGGAACUGCCUUU
rnacentral:rRNA from 1 species